rnacentral:tRNA from 1 species
GGACAGGUGCCCGAGAGGCCGAAGGGAACGGUUUGCUAAACCGUCGUAUGGGGAUUCCCCUGUACCGAGGGUUCGAAUCCCUCCCUGUCCG